rnacentral:rRNA from 1 species
CCUACGGGAGGCAGCAGUGGGGAAUAUUGCGCAAUGGGCGAAAGACUGACGCAGCGACGCAGCGUGCGGGAUGAAGGUCUUCGGAUCGUAAACCUCUGUCAGCAGGGAAGAACGGUCACUGUGCUAAUCAGCAGUGAAUUGACGGUACCUGCAAAGGAAGCACCGGCUAACUCCGUGCAAGCAGCCGCGGUAAUACGGAGGGUGCGAGCGUUACUCGGAAUUACUGGGCGUAAAGCGCUCGUAGACGGUAUGUCAAGUCAAGGGUGAAAUCCCCGCGCUCAACGGGGAAACUGCCUUUGAAACUGGCAAACUGGAGUGUGUGAGAGGAUGGUGGAAUUCCAGGUGUAGGAGUGAAAUCCGUAGAUAUCUGGAGGAACAUCAGUGGCGAAGGCGACUAUCUGGCACAUAACUGACGCUGAGGAGCGAAAGCGUGGGUAGCAAACAGGAUUAGAUACCCCUGUAGUC